GGUGUGAAAAAGUGGGAACCUUGCUGAAGGUGAUCAGUGAUUUAAGGCAGCAGCAUAGCUAAUUUAUUUCAGCUAGUUUAAGAGAUGAAAGAAACAGAGGAAAAAAAUUGCUAUCAUUUCUUGCCUGUAACCUGCGGUUUAUUCUGUGCAUAUUCGUGGUAGAUAUUUGUGGAAGAAGCCAUUCACAAGUAAAGAGAAGUGCCAGGGAAAGGAGCUUUCAGACCGGCUGCUGUGGGAGAAUCCUCUGUGGCUGGCCACUAUGCUCAUUCAUAUUUAAGAAGACUGAAGCCCAGAGCAGGGCAGUGCCCACAUUCUCUGCAUGACUCAUGCUGCAGCUGGAGGGUGCUCAGGAAGUCACUGUGCCAACAGCAAAGCUUGGAAAGUAGCCAAAAGAAAACAUUUAUGAUGGGAGAAAGCAGUGCAGUAGGACAUGCCUUGCCACUGCGGCACAUACCUGGUCAGGGGCUGGAUAUUGCCCUUGAAUGGGGCCCUGCUGGCGAGACAGGCAGAGGAGCACCCACAACUCCCUGGGAAAGCUGGACAUGAGGAGAAGAAAACUGGCACAGGCAGAGAGUCUUGUUGAAAGCACUGAGUAUAUCGCAUGCCUUCUUCUGCCUAGCCCAGCAGCCCAGCAAAGCACUGAAAUCAAGAGCUGAGGUUUGUUAACAUCUACCUGAACAGACUGACAGCUUGCAAAGUUGGAUUCUGUGGUCUACCAUUUAUUUUUUUUUAACCCAUGCUGCACUGGUUAUCUGCCAGUCUUGCAUGAGAGCAAGCUGCAGAAAGCAGAGGCAGAAGCAUUUCUGGUACACUCAGGAGCAGUCUCACUGUGACUACAGCCAUCUGUAUUUUGAUUUUAGAAUGGCAACUCUCACUGUAGUAUCUUUGCGUUCUCCAAGAGGUAAUCUCUGAAAGUAAAUACAUGUAUGCUGCUCCCCUGAGUUGCCUAGAUUGGAUUCGUCCUUUAAUUCCAUGUUCUGGUGGAAUUGCUUAUGUAAAGGGCUUUUUCUCUUCAUUAUACUAAGGUUAUAAUUCCAGAGUAUGGAGAAUUAGGCAAACAUUUCUUAUCAUACAACCACAGCCCGUGGGCGUGAUGGGCUUAGGGCCAACAUCUCUGAGCAGGCAAAUGUUUUUUGUCAUUUUGAAGAGUUAGGAAAUCAGACAGAUCACACAGAAAUGAGGAGUAGUAAAUGUGUUUCAUUAAAAAAUGUUUUCUCAAGAUGGUUUGAACAAAAAUAUUGAAUAUUGGAAAUAUUGUUAUUACACCUUUUCCAGCACUGCAAACAAAGGCCAGCGGGCCUGUUUUAUAGGAGUUAAGUAGUGGGGGAUGGAAACGAGUGGAUAAAGACAAACAAUUUAACAGGCAUUGAUGGAGGGGAUGAUUGCAAAGCAAAACAACCCCAAAGUCUAGAGGGGAGACGUAUGAGCAGCAGCUGAGGUCCCCUGGUUGGCUCAGCCAGGAGCAGAGGAGCUGUGGGGAGGCCUCAUGGCGGCUGCAGCUCCUCACAGGGAGUGGAGAGGCAGCGCUGAGCUCUGCUCUGUGUGACAGCGACAGGGCCCGAGGGAACGGCAUGGAGCUGUGUCAGGAGAGGGGCAGGUUGGAUAUCCCUUUCCAACUGGGGAUAUUCUGGUACUCUAUCUCCAGGUAGAGGCUGAGCACAUCCCCCGCAGGGCAAUCAGACCUCUGGAAGUUAUGCCAGACUCCUGCAUUUCCAUUCUGUUUCUGGCAGGCUUGAUGUGAGGCCACAGGCUUGUUGUUUCUGCCUUUUUGUCUUCAUUUGUCCACCUGAGAGAGCUAAAAGUCAGGCUUUGAUGAUUAGUUGUUUAAUAAAUUCUGUUGUGCUUUGCAUAUGCAACACAUGAUUUAUGCAUUCUUGUGGCUGUGUCCCGUGCUGUCAUUAAAAGCCCAGGAGUGGUUGAAUAACAACAGGUGAUCAUAUUUUGGCAGCCUAUUUCACAGAUGCAUCAGGUUGCAAACAGAAUGUAAUGUGAUUUGAAAUACAGUAUUUGAAAAUGUUAUGAGCUCUCACAUUUGUUUGGAUUAGCAUAAGCUCUCUGCUCUCCCUCCCCUCAUCUAAUUUCCCACAUGUUUAAACUAUAAAUACAGCUGAAUUUAAAUGUAAUCCUCAUGCCUUACCAACUCAUCUUCAUCAAAAAAAAAGCACAUCAUUAAGAAAAAGUAGUGUCCCGGGGCCUGGCCCCCUGGUUCCAAAUACAGUGCAGGCUUGCCACAGCUAAAAGCAAAAAGUAUGCCAGUAUCUCCUUUAAAUGUAUCUCCUUAGCGUAAUAAAUCCGUAUCAAAGGUCUUGUAGAUGCAAAAGAAUCUAGGUUCAGGUUUAUCAAAGUAUUUCUGUAAUUUUAGGAUGCCUUAUUUCAUAAACACUUAUUACAUGUAAGCAGUCAUGGUGCCUGAAGAAAACGUGCAGUAUAAUCUAUUAUUGAUUAUUUCUACAAUCUUCAAAAGCAUCUGGAGUUUGUCUCGGGGCAGAAAAGGAGAAGCUGAGCAUGUAGUAUUUACACUGGGGAGCUGCCAGUGCAAUUCUAUCUUCUAAGUAUGCUGACCCAAACCCAGCAAACCUGGAAGAGGAUAGAGAGCAUUACAUUGUACCCCAUUCAUAUGUAACGGGCAGUUAAAUGGAAUAUGUUUGCUUUGGGCUUGGGCUUUUUGCUUGGUACAACGAAGGUUUCUGCAAGGACCAUUAACUUCAACUGGGGGAGUGUCUGAUAUAUGAAGAAACUCAUCACCAAGAAGCUGUAUAGAGAACCUUGGAAAAUGGUCUCUCUGUGGCAGGCUUUGCCCCAGCCAAGGCUUUGUCCCAGUGCAGUUUUGGGAACCACAGCAAAGGUAACACCAUCCAGACUGGAAAGUAAUUUACAGAAUGAGUGAAAUCAACAGAGGAGGCAAAAAAAACACUUUUCAGGAAGACUUCUUCCAAGAAGGAAGAUGUAAGCACUAAAAUAUUUAGAAAAACUGAAUUUCCUAGAAUUCAGAUACUCAGAUUCCUCUCAGUUUCUGCCUGCCCUCCCGUGGAGAAGACAAUGACUACUGAAAGAGAUAGUCAUUGGAAGCACAAGAGCAUGUAGUUUGAUUGAGAUGAGCUGUCUCAGUAGGAAAAGAGAGAAGCAAGGCACCAAGAGCAGCCUGGUACAGUUCUCACAUGGUGGCAAGACAGCCUGUGCAAGAGGAAAUGGUCAGGAAAACCUGAGGUAUGCAACAGAGGCAUCAGAGUAGCCAUUCUGAGUCGGGCUGUGGGUCAGUUUGGCCCAGUAUUGAGUCUCUGGUCAUAGCAGCCACAGAGAACAAGAGUAGAGAAUAGAUUAGGCACAUUUUCCCAAAGUAUUCUUCUAGCCGUUGAAAGUUUCUUGACCCAGAAGGGUUAUUCUGGCACUUAAAAGCCUGAGUAGAUGUUUGUCAGUUUACUUAGUUGCUUUCAAACUAGUGUGAUUGUUUUCCCCCAUCUCUGCAAAGAAUCAUUUCCUUUGGUUAACUCUGAUCCGGUGCCACUGAGUGGGACAAAGGGCUUACAUGAGACAACCAGCAGUCACUCCCCACCCUCCUUCUCACACUGCUUGAUGCUGCUGGCACAUCCAUGCUUGGACAGGUCCAUUUACAGGCUGAAGACUCCUGGUUUCUAUGGCGACUCCUGGUGUGGAAGCCAUCCCAAAACUUUGAAUAAACACUUCACCCUGAGAUCACCAUCUUCACAAGUUUCAAAUCUGCUGGCAUAGAAAGGAUCUUUUUUUUUUUCUUUCACAAGGGCAUCCAUCCUGUGACAUGAAUGUCACCCCUUUCACAUUGCCCAGACUCACAGCCACAAGCCUUGCUCUUACAAACUGCUCAGCCCCAUUGCCAGGUCACGCUACAAGCUGACAGCCAAUUUUCUGCCCUAGCCCCACCUCAUUCCACAGCACUUUUUUGAUACUGAUGUUUUCCACACACCUCCAGCCCCCUCAAACUGCUAUAUGUCUGUUCAUUUAUUUUGGUUGUAUUAGCUUGUAUUGCCCAGGUUGAAUUUUAUUACUAUAUCCUCCAAAUAAGGUUUCUGCCUGCAUGAUAGAGUCUUUGCUUCCUACUAUGAGAUUAGCUGCAAAUUUAAUUUGGCAGCUAUUCAUCCCCUCUUGAUACCUACCAUUAACAGCAAUAAAAGUAGAAUUCAACAACUGAGAUUCCCAGCACCCUUUGGGUACCUGUUCUUAUUUCAAUAUAAGGUUGUUGAUUGUUCUGUUUUAUCUAUUUACAGUCCUCCAAGUAGUGUUCAGUAUACAGAGCAACUCCCUGACAUGCUAUUAAUCACUGUCACUGAAACGACUGUAGAAAAGAUACUUGGCCGUGAGCCAGUACUUUUGGGAUCGCGUUAACAGUUUCCUGUCGUAUUUCAAUCACUUGUGCUGUGCAAAAUAACCCCCAGUGUCCCUCCCUCAGGGUAUUAAGUAAAGAUUGCAGCCCCUGUGAUAAGAAAGGGUUCUCACAAACAUUAAUCUGCAGGGCGCUGUUGGGCAGGAAGAAAAGGGUGAGAGCAUUGCCACAUGGCCUUUUCCUGCACAGAGGACUUCAUAUAGUCACCUGUACUUGUGGGGAAGAACCCUCUUUCCCUGUCAUCCUCUCACUGCUACAAAUAUUGGGGUACUUGUGGGUGGCUUUCAGCAUCCAGAGCUUUCAGUUUAUGCAGAUUUAGAAGAUUCUUAAUUAAACAACAGAAGGCAUGUUAUCCUGUCUCCUUUCAUCAGCUUGGUAUCCAUCAACUACAGCUGGCACAAACCAAUUAUCCCUGUGGCAACCACAGCUUUUGACAGCUCUUGACACAGAUCACUUGCAACCUGUAGGCACCCCGUGCUAUUUCUGUGCUUUUGCAGCUGAUCAGUGGCUGUGCUGAGCACCUCCUUUUCUUCAAGGAGUAGCACUUCAAGGAGCUACUGGACUUCUGCAGUAAUGGCAGCCAGCGGUGGUGCAGCACUGGGGAUAUUGGCCUUCAUGCUCAGGAGCAAGUUUAAGUUGAUACUCAGACUCUCUUUGGUUGGCUGUCUGUCCCUGCAGCCCAGCACUGCCAUGCUGGGUGAUGGACACCCUGAGGUAAGCAGCCCCUGAAUUAGUUGUAUGGCAGGACUAUGACACACACCCCACCGCUCAGGUUCUGGGAGACAGGAGGUUGUAUCCAGAUGCCUAUAAAGUGCUGUGGCCAUCAGUAGGAGCAGCACACAGAGGCAGCAGUAACCCACUGCAACAUAUUAGAGGAGGAAAAGAAUAAUG